rnacentral:rRNA from 1 species
CCUACGGGGGGCAGCAGUGAGGAAUAUUGGUCAAUGGUCGGGAGACUGAACCAGCCAAGCCGCGUGAGGGAUGAAGGUACAGAGUAUCGUAAACCUCUUUUGUCAGGGAACAAAGGCGGGGACGCGUCCCCGGAUGAGUGUACCUGACGAACAAGCAUCGGCUAACUCCGUGCCAGCAGCCGCGGUAAUACGGGGGAUGCGAGCUUUAUCCGGAUUUCUGGGGUUUAAAGGGUGCGCGGGCGGUCUGUUAAGUCAGCGGGCAAAGCCCGGGGCUCACCCCCGGCCCGCCGUUGAAACUGGCAGUCUCGAGUUGGAGAGAAGUAGGCGGAAUGCGCGGUGUAGCGGUGAAAUGCAUAGAUAUCGCGCAGAACUCCGAUUGCGAAGGCAGCAUGCCGGCUCCACACUGACGCUGAGGCACGAAAGCGUGGGUAUCGAACAGGAUUAGAUACCCUAGUAGUC